rnacentral:lncRNA from 1 species
AUGUUAAGUAAUUACGAAUUAAUAAAAAAAAACAAAUAUGAUAUAUAUUCUUCAUAUAUACCAAAAAAAAUAUUAAAUAUUAUAUCCUUAUGUAUAAACCAUUUAAAAAGUGAUGAACACUUCAAAACAACUAUCACAUAUGAUGUGUUAUAUAAUAAUAAAAAUGAUUCUUAUAUUUUUAAUAAAAAUAGCAUGGACCCAAUAAAUUGUAAAAACAUUAUAUACAUUUUUGAGCUUUUGAAAAAUCAUGUGAUAUUGUAUAAUGAAGUUAUGGAAAAAGACAUAUAUGAUGCGAAAGUUUGUAAUACUGUUAGUACUGGUGAUUAUAGCAAUAAUAAUAAAAAAAAGACGAUUGCCUAUACAGAUGUGAUGGAAAAAUCAAAUAUUGGUACGAAAAAUAAGUAUUUAUAUAAAGAUAUAAUUGAAAAAAAUUAUAAUGAUGAAGAUGAAAAUUAUGACACUAACACUCCUAUUGUUAGUUCUAAUAACAUUGAUAAUAUAUUUAUUAAAUUAAAAUAUACUAUCGGUUUAAAUAAAAUAAAAAAAAAUUCAUUAAAAGAUUUUUUACUUAAUAAACUAAAAAUGUAUAUAAACAAUAGAAAUUAUAAUUCUUUAAUAAAUAUAUUGAUAGAUAUAUUUUUUACUUAUAAAAAUAUUAUAUAUUUAAAUUCAACAGAUUUUAUCAACAUAUACGAACAAUUAAAUAUAAUUUAUGAUAAUAUUUUAUCAAUCAUAAUUAUAAUUUUUUUUAUUGACAAUCAAACACAUUUUAAAAAAGAAGAGUAUGGUGAUGGUAAUACAGUAUUUAAUCAUUCCCAACUAAGUUUACAAGAAAAAAAAAAAAAAAAUUAUAAAAUAAAUAUUUAUGAAUUUAUUAGUAUGUUAAAAAGUAAUAACGAAACAUAUUUUAAACAAGUAUUAAAUCAAUCAUUUUUUGGAAACUUUUUAAAAAAUUACCAAAAUUUUAUUUAUAUGUGUAUAUAUUUUGACAUAAAUAAAAAAAAGGUACACAAUGUUGUAAAUUUGUUGGGCAUGUUAAAAGGGGUAAAAAAAAAAAAAAAAAAAAAAAUAUAUAUACAUGUGUAUACAUAUAUAUGUCACAUAUUUUAUAUAAUUUUUUACGUCUUACACUACUAUAUAAUAAUAUAUGAAUUUUACCUACUAUAUAAUAAUAUAUGA